rnacentral:snoRNA from 10 species
CCUUCUGUGAUGAUUUUAUCCAAAAUUGACUUUCGUUCUUCUGAGCUUGCUGAAGCCAUAAUAGAGAAACUGAGAAGG